GUGCUCCCAGGUGUCUGUAGGGAUACCCAGAUGCCCCCAGGUGUGUCCCAGGUGUGUCUCAGGUGUGUCUUAGGUGUCCCCAGGUGCUCCCAGGUGUGCCCAGGUGUCUGUAG